rnacentral:lncRNA from 1 species
UUUGUGUAAUGUACAAAUAAAGCUCAGCUGGGCAAAUUUUUUCAUUGCUUAUAAGGAUCCUAAUAUCUUCGUUUUCAUAUUUGCAGCAGAGCAACGAGGCUUGUUAUUGAAGAUAACUGCAGACAUCGGUAACUAGUAAAUCUGUCACCGGCGCCUAAACCACCCUAUUUUAAUUGAUGCUCACCAUUUACCACAUGUUGAUGGAGUAUUAAAUGUUAUAUUUUGUUCAACAAUUAUAUGGGUGGGGAGAGUUGAACAAAUAAUUACUAUAAGAAAACGAAAAAACUGAUGUGAGAUCAAAAUAGAAGGAAAUUGGCGUAGACACAAUAAGCUCAUGUGAUCGCAUGGCUUAAACAAUUUGGAAAUGCACAUUGGUUUUCAUUUGUACCAUGAGGUCUCAAGGCUUAUAAAAAUGUGAUACCUUGGUUAUCAAAAUUAGCCGUUAGGCCUAUUUCCAAUAUUGAUAUUUUGGUGGUUUUCAUGAAAAGUUGUAGUCAUGAAUUGUGAAUGUAAAACUACGAAUAAGUGAUCAUUUUUAAUUGCAAUGAAUGAAAACAACAACCAAAAUCACAUUUGAGUGUCACUAUUCCAGAUUCUAAU